UUGUGUCCAGGAGGGAGUGACCAACUGUCAAUUGUGACAAAUGCUGCUGAGAAAUCAAGAGAGAUAAGAACAGAGACAUGACCACUGGAUUUGGCAAUACCAAGGAGUCCAAUAUGAGGUAUUAAGGGGAUUAAGACACAAUGUGAUCAGGACCUCCAGCCGCCAUGACACCUCCACUAUGAUAGUCUAUGCACCCAAGCUCUCUGCCAAAAUAAGCCCUUCCUCCUCCUUGCUGCUUCUAUCAAGUAUUUCUCAGAGCAACAAGACAAAUAAUAUUUCUGCCAUGAGUCAAGGUAUUCUCCAAGAGAUUCAGGCCACUUCCAUCCUGAACUCCCUCAUCUGAAGGGCAGACUUUCAGAUUGGCCCUAUGAGAAAGAAGGCUGAAGGCUGAUCAUCAAUAUGUAAACGCCUUAGCUUCCACUCAUCAAUAUCUGAACACCUCAGCUUCCACUCACAGACCGUUAGCUACAGCUGCUCACAGGUGCCAUCCAAGAGAGACUGGAACCGGCAGGGAAAACAUAGGCUAUGUAGUAGAUUCCCAAACAGUCGGUCUCAGUUCAUUGGUGCCACUACCAGAGCUUUCUCAGAAAACAGACCUACAGACCUCUUCUAAAUGCCACUGGGCUUUGCAGUGGCCCCAUUCCCCAUUUCUCUCCUGAAUCAUCACCGUUGAACAGAACAA